UCCAUGCAGACAGCCCAUAGGUUGACUAAUUUGUCUUCCAAUGUGGCACAUACUCUUGAUGUGCAAGCCAGCAUUAAUGCUCAACUUAAAGGUGGCCUGAUGGUGGUUAAUCAAAGAAUUGACCUGGUACAAAAGCAAAUUGACACACUGUGGCAGCUUGCACAGCUAGGUUGCCAGUGGAGAUACUCUGGCCUAUGUGUGACCAGUAUUCAGUAUGAAAAUUUUACAUGUGCAGCUAAUCUGUCUAAACAGUUGUCAAGUUAUCUUCUGAGUAAUUGGACUGGAGAAUUCGAUUUCUUAAUGGAUCAGCUACGUGUAGCCAUUGUGACCGUGAACUCCACACAUGUGGAUGCUGGACUGGCUACGGGAUUGUCAUCUUGGAUUGCUGCUGCUAUGAAUCAUCUGAGGGAGUGAGCGGGUAUGGGAGCCCUAGCUGGACUCUUGCUGCUGGUCUCCCUAGUGAGCCUGUGGUUUCUCUGUAGAAUGAGGUUUGUCCAGAGGCGGCAUGCGGCUAUGGUGGUACAGGCAUUUGCAGCCAUUGAGGCAGGACAGUCCCCUCAAGCCUGGCUUACGGUCAUUCAGAAGACCUAGUUGCACCUCGUGAGUGACCCUGCCUAGUGACGGACAACUUCCCUUCUACCUAAGGCAUGGAACCUUGUGGGCGACAAGGUGUCCUAAGACGGGUUUAAUGCAGGGAUGAUCCUAAGACGGGGGGGGGGGGGUCGCCACGCUCAGUGGUGCCUUUGCCUGCUUGAUUAAUUAAACAAAAAGGGGGAACUGUAGGGAGCUUUGACGUGCCAUACCUCAAAGAUGACACUGGUUUCCGCCUUCCACCCUCCCGGUGAGCGCUCCUUGUAGUAAACAAGUCCUUAUUUGGCUAUGCCUGCUUGGCCUGCUAGGUUCCGCAUAGUGACAGCCUGUCUGCAUAACCCACGUCGCACACUGGGGUUGGUUGGCAUUGGGUACUUAAGCUGAUGUAGGGCAUUCCCCAGGGUAGAAGAUUGUAUCAAGAUUCCUGAAUAAACUGCUUGAAGAUC
rnacentral:lncRNA from 1 species